rnacentral:rRNA from 1 species
UACGAAGGGGGCUAGCGUUGCUCGGAAUCACUGGGCGUAAAGCGCACGUAGGCGGAUUGUUAAGUCAGGGGUGAAAUCCUGGAGCUCAACUCCAGAACUGCCUUUGAUACUGGCGAUCUCGAGUCCGGGAGAGGUGAGUGGAACUGCGAGUGUAGAGGUGAAAAUUCGUAGAUAUUCGCAAGAACACCAGUGGCGAAGGCGGCUCACUGCCCGG